GAGUUAAGUAGAGUUCCUGUUGAUGCCAUUUCUGUUGCAACAUAUUUGAGAUCAUUUCCAGCUCAGAUAUCACGUCUUGAUAUUAAGAAUGAGUUGGAAUGGAAUCAAGUAUCACUGUAUGAUGCUGAUGGAGAUGUCAUUUAUUACAAAGACAAUAGAGAACAAUUGAAGGAGAUCACAACUGAAGAGAGAGCAGAAUUUAAAAUGACAGAAAGCAAAAGGUUAUAGUGUUGCUGUUUAUGUUAUUGGGUCACUGUAUGAUGUUCCAGGAGACAAAGAGGAUGAGGAUUGAGUGCAUUUAGUGGCAAAGUGUGUAUAUGUGGCUUGUAGGCUGUCUCCCCUCUUCAGC